rnacentral:lncRNA from 1 species
CUGGAGGACAGAGGCCCCGCAUGGGGCGCGGCGUUAGCUGCCCCAGCCCCCAGGCCGGGCAGUGGCAGCACAGGGCCCCAAGUCUACUUGACAGACGAAGGCCCUGGGGUGAGGGGUGGGGUGAGGCUCAGAUGACUACGACUUGGUGAGACAGCAAGGGAAGGUCACAAGGAGCAACGGAAGCGCCUCAAGCUGGAGGAGUGGAUUUUAGAACAGCUCAUGCGACUCUAUGACUGUCAGGAGGAGGAACUCCCAGAGCCCAGGAUAGAUGUGGAUGAACUUUUGGACACAGAACAAGGAAAGCGAUGAUACCCGGGCUGCUAGAGUCAAGGAGCUGUUAGUUGACUGUUACAAACCCACUGAGGCCUUCAUCUCUGGCCUGCUGGACAAGAUCCAGGGCAUGCAAAAGCUGAGCACAUCCCAGAAGAAGUAA